AUAAAACCACUGCCAGGAACAAACCCCUUCAUAAUAAUAAUGCAUAACCCAGCAUAGCCCUUCUGUAUAUUUUAGCACAACUUCUUUUCGUACUGCUUCCAUUUCUUCAGGUGUUUUUGCAGAAAAUUUUUCAUCAUAAUACCUCUCUUUCCAUCCGGGCACUCCCAGUUUGACCUUGUCUUCUUCUGGAUUCUCUGAAUUGAAAGUAUCAUUCUUGUCUCGAAGCAACUUGUUUAGUUUUGUUUUCAAUUCUUCCUUGUUUUCAGAAACUUCAGCUUCGACAAUUGCAGCUCCUAUUGUGGCCUCGGAACUCAAACGUGCUAUCUUUCUGGCACGGUCGGCAGCCCUUUUCCUUUUGUUUUUUCGGGUACGGGCAGUCUGUUUAUCAUCAGAAGCGUCAGACUGUUCGGUCUUA
rnacentral:misc_RNA from 1 species